rnacentral:ribozyme from 13 species
UUUUUUUUUUUUUUUUUUUUUUUUUUUCAAAAACCGGGGGAAUCUUGGGUAAAAGGGG